UGCAAUACUAUUGCAGUAGUCUUGUUCUCCUUGAAUUGUCUCUUUUGAAGUCAUUUCCCAAAUGACAGUAUAGUUUAUAUGAAGUAAAAAAAAGUUGAAAU